AGAAAGAUUGCAGAGCUC
rnacentral:piRNA from 1 species